AGUGAACGCUGGCGGCAUGCCUAACACAUGCAAGUCGAACGGCAGCAUAGUAUGAGCUUGCUCUUACGUGUGGAGAGUGGCGGACGGGUGAGGUAUAUAUCGAAUUCCACUUUUUUGUGGGGGAUAACGUCGGAAAAUUUACGCUAACCCCGCAUACGACCUACGGGUGAGAGCAGGGGAUCUACGCACCUUGCGCUAUUGAAUGAGCCGAUGUCGGAUUCGAUAGUUGGCGGGGUAAAGGCACACCAAGGCGACGCUCCGUAGCUGGUCUGAGAGGAUGAUCAGCCACACUGGAACUGAGACACGGCCCAGACUCCUACGGGAGGCAGCAGUGGGGAAUAUUGGACAAUGGGCGAAAGCCUGAUCCAGCAAUACCGCGUGUGUGAAGAAGGCCUUCGGGUUGUAAAGCCCUUUUGUUCGGAAAGAAAUGCAGCUGGUUAAUACCCGGCGGUUAUGACGGUACCGGAAGAAUAAGCACCGGCUAACUUCGUG
rnacentral:rRNA from 1 species